CGGCGGGAUAGUUCUGCUUCAGCCUCCGCUUCUGCAGCCCAGAUGAAUUACAGGCAUGGACUGAACUCACCUGGCCACCUCUGCCUCGCAGUCACUUUGUCCUCGGCUCGCGAUAGUGCUCAGACUGCACAGGCAGCUCGCGGGGCAGUGCAGGACAGACAGGACACUAAGCGCUCUUCUGGAGCGGCUCGGACGCUUAAAGACGAGUUUGGCCAGUAAAAUGGGGAGGGCUCGUCCGAUGGCACCUGGCAUGCGGUGUCUUCACCUGAAGAUACUGUUCCUGCACUUAUGCCUGGUUGCCAUAGUGGCGGAGGAGAGAAGAGCAUGUAAGGAGCAGGAAUACCGGCACCAGGAUGGGAACUGUGUGGCCUGCAGGCAGUGCGAUGCCGGUCAGGAACUCUCAAAGGAAUGUGGCUUCGGCUUUGGCGAGGAGGCACACUGCGUGCCCUGCAGGGCCGGCCGAUUCAAACCGGAUGGUGGUUUGCAGAAGUGCAAGCCUUGCCUUCACUGCACAAUGCUCCACCGCCUGCAGAAAGCCAACUGCUCCAGCACGAGGAAUGCCGUGUGCGGAGACUGUCUGCCCGGGUUUUAUAGGAAAACGAAGCUGAGUGGAUUCCAGGACAUGGAAUGCAUUCCGUGUGGAGACCCGCCCCCACCUUACGAACCUCACUGCAGUGGGCGUGUGAACCUUGUGCCUGUGCCCUCCACUGUGACCAGCCCCAGAGACAUGGCCCUGGCUGCAGUCAUCUGUGGUGCCCUCGCAACUGUUCUCCUCGCUCUCGUCGUCCUCUGCAUCAUCUACUGCAAGAGACAGUUGCUGGAGAAGAAGCCUACAUUGCUGAGGACUCCGGACAGUCCCUUCUCUGGCGAGGAGCUGUCCUGUUUGCACAGACGACAAGUCCUCGAUGUCUCCCAGCAUGCCUGCUGUCGCUGCCGCCAUGGCGCUGGGCCGCCCUGCGGUCCCAUGCAGCUGAUUCCCUCCCUGUGCUGUGAAGACCUGUACAGAGAAAGCCAUAAGCACAGUCCUUUCCAGUCUCUGAGAAGCCUCAGUGGGAGACACGUGACCCCAUCACCAGGGAGCAGUCGAUGUGACGUGAGGCAGGAUCUACCUGCCGGGUUCUCCGACGCGCGGCCGCUUAUGGCGCACGCCACGGACAGAAACGAACCCGAGCCUCAACGCUGCGGCCCGCCGUCCGCAGAGAGGAGCAGUUUGAAGAAGGAGCAGGAGGAGGAGGUGGACCACGGCUCAGGCCUGCUCCGCAGUGAGGCUGUUCUAGCCACCCCUGACGGAGACGCCACUACCGGAGGCAAGUCAUCCAAGACACCGCAGAACGAGAUUCAUCUCUGCCAGUUUUGCACGCCACUCACACCACUCGAAGUGCAGCGAUGGUGCCGUUCUUUUGAGGGCUGGGCAGCUUUGAUAAACGUCAGCGAGAGCAGCAGGCUAACAGGCUUUGAGAGAAGAGUGGACUGUGAGAACUCCUGAAAUCCCAGCCUGCCAACAAAAGCUCUUCCCACCAUGUUAACACUCGCUGGCAUCAAACAGCUGUUUCUCAUUAUUCAGAUGUUUUUGGUGGACUUUGUCCCUGGCAGUAUGGUUAGUUUGGCAAUACGAACAACUUACUGUUCUAAAAGUCCUGUAAUAUACUUAUAUCACAGCUAGUAAUCACAUCAACUUGCAGAUACACUAAUGGGAUGAAAACUCAUUAUUAAUCUAUUAAGGGACCGUUGUUAUAAUCUUUAGCCCCCAUUUGUCUCUAAGAACUGCUCUGGAUGUGAAAAGCACAAAGAAACAUCCCACCUGAGGGGAAGGGAGUGUGGAAUAUUCCAUCUGGAAUGCCAGGAGUGUGGACUAUUCCACCUGAGGGGAAGGAGUGCGGCAGCCCAGCAUGGUGCUAUGUGCUUGUCUGUCCCCCACCCAGAUCAGGGCACCCUCACACGGACGUACCCUGCCAAACACAAUCCCAAGCCUCGUGAAUAUGAACUCAAUCUCUCUCUCAUAUGGAAAUUGUGAACAGAACAGAGAACUUCCUGGGAUAAAAUUACAAUCCAUACUCUACCUGUGAAUCUACCCUGUGCCGUUACUCUAAUGGACACGUUGUGUGUUUAAUUACGAUAAAGGCACAGGUACUAUUACUUGGUAACAAUAUCUGGAAUUCUCUUGGCAAUAUGGAACAAAAUCACGCUGUACACUGAAGUCCAGUGGAGUCUGCACAUACCGGAGAUGAUUCUGAUAGGUGACCCGUUGCUUUGUAAAUACUGUAUUAUAGGAAAUAGAAGGACAAUAUUUUUACAAUAUCAAUAUCACUCAUCUUUCAUAAUUACAGUUGAUAAACACAAUGUAUUCUUUGCUCUUCCUUUCUGUAAAUAAACCAUAAACACAACGAGGG